CGCGGCGCCUGCGCGGUGGGGUCGCCGCGCUGCUCCUCUGGCCCCGAGGUGAUGGAGGCGGCGGCGCGGCGGCUGCCGCGGGAGCAGGAGCGGCAGCAGGAGGAUGGCGGGCGGGUGCUGUCACGAUCCCUGUCGGGACAGUCCUACUGGCUGGACCUGUGGCUCUUCAUCCUCUUCGACCUGGCGCUUUUCCUGCUUAUCUACCUGCUGCCCUGAGGGCGCGGCCCAGGGCCAUUGCCACCAAGGGAAUUCUCACCCAUUUCGCACCUUAGGAACGCAGGCGGUGGAAAAGAAGGACCAUUUGUGCGGGACGAGCAGCUGGGAACACGACUCCGCUUGAGCCUCGAUGGAGGAGGCACAUUUUUAUACUGUGUGGCAAUAGAUCUCUGUGUGUCACAAGUGUUGCUGUUCAGGUUUUACCUGUAUCCUGCUUCUGUGUCCUAAACUGUGCCUUAAGGGUUAUGUGUGAGAGACUGAUGGUGUUUUUGUGAUCAGUCCCGAAAGUUUAUUGUGCAGGAAUGGAAGUGUUCACUGUUAGAAUAAAAUCCACUGCAAGGACACCCUGCAGAGUGGCUGAGAAUAAAACCCAGCUAUUGUGUACACUGGAGUUAUAACUCAGACCUGUUCCCUCAAGAGAUGGAGCUUAGCCAGCCAUUCUACUUCCAAAAAGUUAAUCCUCAUGGGUUGAUGCUGGUUGAACUUCUAUUAUACUGUCCUCUGUUUUUUCUUUCUUUACCUUCAGCAGUUACUGAGCCCUCUCAGGCUUGGUAUUUAUAAAUAUAAAUAUAUAUGUAUAUAAACAUGUCAGUGUUUAACCCAGCA